rnacentral:rRNA from 1 species
CACUCCUACGGGAGGCAGCAGUGGGGAAUUUUGGACAAUGGGCGAAAGCCUGAUCCAGCAAUGCCGCGUGAGUGAAGAAGGCCUUCGGGUUGUAAAGCUCUUUUGUCAGGGAAGAAACGGUGAAAGCUAAUAUCUUUUGCUAAUGACGGUACCUGAAGAAUAAGCACCGGCUAACUACGUGCCAGCAGCCGCGGUAAUACGUAGGGUGCAAGCGUUAAUCGGAAUUACUGGGCGUAAAGCGUGCGCAGGCGGUUUUGUAAGUCUGAUGUGAAAUCCCCGGGCUCAACCUGGGAAUUGCAUUGGAGACUGCAAGGCUAGAAUCUGGCAGAGGGGGGUAGAAUUCCACGUGUAGCAGUGAAAUGCGUAGAUAUGUGGAGGAACACCGAUGGCGAAGGCAGCCCCCUGGGUCAAGAUUGACGCUCAUGCACGAAAGCGUGGGGAGCAAACAGGAUUAGAAACCCCUGUAGUCCCAUG